AACGAACGCUGGCGGCAUGCCUAAUACAUGCAAGUCGAACGAUCACUUCGGUGGUAGUGGCGCACGGGUGCGUAACGCGUGGGAAUCUGCCCUUGGGUUCGGAAUAACGUCGGGAAACUGACGCUAAUACCGGAUGAUGACGUAAGUCCAAAGAUUUAUCGCCCAGGGAUGAGCCCGCGUAGGAUUAGCUAGUUGGUGGGGUAAAGGCCUACCAAGGCGACGAUCCUUAGCUGGUCUGAGAGGAUGAUCAGCCACACUGGGACUGAGGCACGGCCCAGACUCCUACGGGAGGCAGCAGUAGGGAAUAUUGGACAAUGGGGGCAACCCUGAUCCAGCAAUGCCGCGUGAGUGAUGAAGGCCUUAGGGUUGUAAAGCUCUUUUACCCGGGAUGAUAAUGACAGUACCGGGAGAAUAAGCCCCGGCUAACUCCGUGCCAGCAGCCGCGGUAAUAC
rnacentral:rRNA from 1 species